AAUGAACGCUGGCGGCGUGCUUAACACAUGCAAGUCGUGCGCGAAGGUGGCUUCGGCCACCGGAGAGCGGCGAACGGGUGAGUAACACGUGGGUAAUCUGCCUGGGAGCGGGGGAUAACCUGGGGAAACUCGGGCUAAUACCGCAUACGUUGACCGGCAUGCGUGCUGGUCGAGAAAGCUGGCCUCUGCUUGCAAGCUAGCGCUCCUAGAGGAGCCCGCGUCUGAUUAGCUAGUUGGUGAGGUAAUGGCUCACCAAGGCGACGAUCAGUAGCCGGCCUGAGAGGGUGAUCGGCCACACUGGGACUGAGACACGGCCCAGACUCCUACGGGAGGCAGCAGUGGGGAAUAUUGGACAAUGGGCGCAAGCCUGAUCCAGCAACGCCGCGUGGAGGACGAAGGUCUUCGGAUCGUAAACUCCUGUCAGGUGGGGCGAAGGUUGCGGGGCAAAUAGCCUUGCAGCUUGACGGUACCACCAGAGGAAGCCCCGGCUAACUCCGUGCCAGCAGCCGCGGUAAUACGGAGGGGGCGAGCGUUAUUCGGAAUUAUUGGGCGUAAAGGGCGCGUAGGCGGCUCGAUAAGUCAAAGGUGAAAUCCCUCGGCUCAACUGAGGAACUGCCUUUGAAACUGUAGAGCUUGAGUCCGGGAGGGGGUAGCGGAAUUCCCAGU
rnacentral:rRNA from 1 species